GUUUAGAAGCUCGAGGCGAGGCCCGCCGGCUGGCUCCUUGACGCGCCACCGCAGAUUCCUCGACCAUCCUCAACGCUGCCAUCCCUCCUCCGGCAACCUGCUCUUCUUCUCCCCGGAGUGUCAGGUGGAAUCAAGCUUGAUUAUGAAAUCUUGGAAAGUAUAUAACACUGUUCUUGCAUGUUCAGAACUUACAUGCAAACUGACAAUAGGUGCGAGUUCCUCUUCAGACAUUGAUGGGUGAGAGUCUGUCAACGCUGCAAAGAAAAGCAAGUGGCUACAGUUAUUAUCAUAUAAGUGUAGAGCAGGUUGAAGAGGAGAGUGUAUCCAACCAUGGCACCAAGCCCAAUCCAAUACCACUUGGCUUCUGUAAAGAUGCCACGACUCUUAAGCACGGCAGAGGGGACUUACUUGGUUCCAACUGGGUCCUAGAAAUUCGUUUGUUGAGAGAGCGUUUUGUGCAUAUGAUAGCGGAGAUAUCCAGUAACCCCAAAUCCACCACUUUUUGAUACUAGCUGGAAAUGAAAAAUAAGAUGGUCAUGUGAGCAACAAUUAACAUUUAGUUCCAUCAUUGUCGUGUAAACAUGGCAACAUCCAUUUUAUCAUGUCCGAGUCAGUAACUUACGUCUUGCAA